rnacentral:lncRNA from 1 species
CGGCCCCCACGGAACCCCCAGACCCAGCCCCGUACACGCCAGGGCGGAGGAGGAAGAGGAGGAGGAGGCACCGCCCGGGCCGGGCCCGCCCCGCGCACACCUGCGCCCCCCGCCGGGGACGCCCCCGCCAGCACCACACCCGCUCCCGGAGCCUUUAAAGGACCCCGGUGGGACCACCGCAAUCCUCCACCCCGCCCGGAGCUGGAAGGGCGGUCGCGGAUCGCCCUGGUCUGUUCCCACUCCCUCAGCCGCCAGCCCCGGGCCGGCGCGGCGAGCCCUGCGGCCAGGCACGGCUGCGGGCGGAAGCAGGUGCUACUCUGCUUACUUCUCCAGAGGCGACUGCGACCUCGUCCCCGCUCCCUCAGGAGGACAGGCCCCCCGGCCAGGGGGGUGCGGCGCUCCGGGGCGGGCCGGCGCCUCUCUCGGCCGGACACCUGCCUAGCCCCGAGGUGGUCGGCGGCCGCGGCUCCGGGAGCCCUGCCCCGGGCCCCAGCACUCCCGUGCCGCAGGGCGCAGCGAGGCUGGGACCGAGUCCCCCGUCCCCCCCGCCCCUGGAGGCGGUGUGUGAGGCGAGGGGCGCGCGAGUCACGGCCGGCCGACUCCUCCCCUUCCCCCCUCCAGCCGCCUCACCUGAGGGAAAACGUGCGGAGCCGCCGGCGUCUCUCCCCGCAGCUACACCGCAAAAUGGAGGCUGUGGGGCCGGGCGGCGCCCGCCCCGCCCCCGGCACCUAGCCCGCCCCGGCCCGGCCCACGGGCCCCGCACGCCGCGGGCAGGGACGCCGCGCCCGAGUCCCCGCAGGGCCGAGGCGGGCCGGCAGCGGUUCCCGGUGGUGAUCGCCCAGCUAACCCGGGACCCCUUUCCUAUCUGUGCAGCUUUGCCCCGUCUUGCUGAAGGAAGGCUGCAGUAUCCCCAAUUCUCCUUCCAAACGGCUGAGAGGCAUUUGUCACUGUGCUGUCUGACAUCAUACAACCAAACCAAUGGAUUGUGGCCUCUUCUGACACUUCUACUUUGCAGUGAAUCUUUCCACCUAUGA